UACAGUAUGUACACAAAAUUUUAAGUUUCGUUUUAAGUGAAUAUGGUUUACAGUGUUCUGUUCAUACUUGUCAAAUAAAAGAUUCGUAUUAAAUAUAUUCAGUGUCAAAAGUUCGCAUCACCCUGUAAACGGUUAAUUUUGUUAAAUUUAAUUUGAACACUAUGGUGUCAUAUGUGAGAGUUUCAAGUUAUGGGGUCGAACUGAUUUUGGAAGAAGAACCUUUGGUAUAUGUUCUUUACACACAGAUCUUAAAAUUUGUCUUACUGUAUAACCAAUACAAGAGAAGGUGGACCUCAAUUUCGAAUUUAUGGGCGACAAUCCUCACCAACAUCGAACUCAAAAUGAGGACUUUCUUAGAGGUUACAUUGAAAAAAUGAAAUGGUCCCCGGACUUAAACCCAAUUGAGCAUGUAUGGGAUUACUUGUCCAAAGUAAAUCCUCCCAUGAUUAUUCAAGACCUAUUACAGGCUGCAGUUGAAGAAUGGUUUAAUAUCUCCUUAAGAAUUUAUUGAUAAUCUAAAGAGGCCUGCACAGGCGUGUAAAUUUGAUAAUAAAGUUCGUUUAUGAUAAAGGUA